rnacentral:rRNA from 1 species
UACGGAGGGUGCAAGCGUUAUCCGGAUUUACUGGGUUUAAAGGGUGCGUCGGUGGGUAGGUAAGUCAGUGGUGAAAUCUUCGAGCUUAACUCGGAAACUGCCAUUGAUACUAUUUAUCUUGAAUACUUUGGAGGUAAGCGGAAUAUGUCAUGUAGCGGUGAAAUGCUUAGAUAUGACAUAGAACACCAAUUGCGAAGGCAGCUUACUACACAAAUAUUGACGCUGAGGCACGAAAGCGUGGGGAUCAAACAGG